AAAAAAGCGUAGAAGGAAACAAAAAUGAAAAAGGAAAAAGACGAGAGCUUUUGGUCUCUGUCUCUGCGUUGAAGUUGCAGAGAUCAAAAGAAGGUAAGGUCAUCAGCAAUGGUGUCCAUUACCAAUCUCUUGAAGGAGCCGAGGCAUUCACAGUUCAUCAAAAAGCUCGUUCCUUGGACCAUUUAUGCCCUUCUCCCCAUCGCCCUCUUCCGCUUGUAUUGUCAUCCAAUCCAUCUCCCAGAUUCUCCCAUUCAUCGGACCCCCCAAAUCAUAGCUUCUUCUUCUUUGUCGCCUCCUCAUUUUUCACCUUCCUCUGUUCAUGAAGAAGAAGAAGAAGUUAAUGCGGUUAAUGAAACUCCCUGUGACUACACCGACGGCCAAUGGGUCCCCGACAAGCUGGGACCUUUAUACAAUGGCUCAACCUGCGGCACAAUUAAAGACGCCCAAAAUUGCAUCGUUCAUGGCCGCUCUGAUUUGGGCUAUCUCUAUUGGCGAUGGAAGCCCCACAAAUGUUCUCUCCCAAGGUUCGAUCCCAGUAAAUUUUUUCACUUCAUGACUAACAAACACAUCGCCUUCAUCGGCGAUUCAAUGGCGAGGAACCAAUUAGAGUCCCUCCUCUGUAUUUUAGCCUCUGUUUCCACUCCGGAACUCGUUUACACUUCCGGCGAGGACAACAAAUUCCGGCGAUGGAAUUUCCCAUCUCAUAAUCUCACCGUUUCGGUCUACUGGUCGCCGUUUCUCGUCGACGGAAUUGAAAAAUCAAACGCCGGCCCUAACCACAAUGAACUGUUCUUACAUCGCGUAAACGAGAAAUGGGCUGUGGAUUUGGAUGAUUUUAACUUAGUAGUGUUCUCAAUCGGGCAUUGGUAUUUACAUCCCGCAGUGUAUUACGAAGGGGAUGAUUCUAUAAUGGGUUGCCAUUACUGCCCUAGUUUGAACCACACCGAGAUUGGAUUCUACGACGCGUUGAGAAAGGGAUUGAGGACGACGUUUGAGGCUGUAAUCGACAGAAGGGGUUCGUCAAGCAGCAAUGAAUUGGGUAUCUUUUUAGCGACAUUUUCGCCGUCGCAUUUUGAAGGAGAGUGGGACAAGGCAGGGGCGUGUCCUAAAACGAAGCCGUAUAAGGAAAGCGAGAAGAAAUUGGAGGGAAUGGAUGCGGAAAUAAGGGCGAUUGAAGUGGAGGAGGUGGAAGAAGCGAAGGGCAGAGCGAAGCAGAGUGGGGGGCUGAGAAUUGCAGCGUUGGAUGUGACGAAACUUUCAUUGCUGAGGCCUGAUGGGCACCCUGGGCCUUACAUGCAUCCGUUUCCAUACGGCAAUGGCGGCGUUGGGGAGCGGGUUCAGAAUGAUUGCGUUCAUUGGUGCCUGCCUGGGCCUGUGGACACUUGGAAUGAGAUACUCCUGCAGAUCAUGAACACCUGGGAGCAGCAAUCUGGACUGUGAGAGGAGAUGAAGAAUUGGUUGAUUAUUUGGAGUUGAUUGAAAUAAUGGAAGUCCAAGUGUAACUAUGAGUGAUGACGACACAAUUAGCGAGGUAUGCAUUCUAUGCCCAUCGCCGUCUGGGUUCCCUUUGGAUCUACGCCGCCAUCGCCUCCUUCCCCGCCAUUUCAGACCCAUUUCCCCUUUUCCUCUUCAAAACCUCUGAACAAUCUCACCUUCAAAACCUCAUCGGGGAUUUCAGCUAUUUUCAGGAAUUGGAAUCUGGGUCCAUCUGGGUUAGGGUUAUGAGGGACGAUGAACUCGACCCCAUUGUUGGGCUGCUCGCUCACUCAUUUGCACACUCCAUCUUCUGAAGCUAUGCUACAUGACAGUUAAAAAGGAGGUUCAGCUUCGGAGGACCAUUUCGAGAUCGAGUGUGUAUACGAGCUGAAAACUGCUGUAACAACCAAGUCCACUGCUGGCAAAUAUUGUCCUCUUUGGGCUUCCCCUCAAGGUUUUUAUAACACAUAUGCUAGGGUUCAAUUGUGAGAUCCCACAUCGAUUGGGGAGGAGAAUGAAACACCUUUUAUAAGGUGUCGA